AAUCGAAAAGACUCGAAAAAUAUCAAAAAUCACGAAAUUUUCAAAACAAGAGCCCCAGGCCCACUUCUCGAAAUCCAGAAAUUUUUAUAUCACAACGAUCCUUAUCUCUCCACGAGUCUAUACAUACCAAAUUCACAAAAAUCGGAGUUCAUUUGACCCCUCAAAUCAUCAUUUUACCAUUUCAUUUCCAAGCCCUAAUUUCAUAAGAUUUGACUAUUUUUUCAUGAAUUGCAAAGAUGAUUCUUUAGUAAAAUCAUGUAUUAAGCUCAUAAACUUACCUCCAAUCAACUUCCGAUCAAAACCCGUCACACUCCUCGACAAAAUAUCCCAAGAUCGUCCAAAAAUGGUGGAAAUGAGCUUGGGUUCACGUUUGAUGUGUUUUCAAACAUUUUGUCC
rnacentral:lncRNA from 1 species